rnacentral:lncRNA from 1 species
GCAGACAAGGCUUUACAGCCAAAACAAUGACAUCUGCAACUCAUUCACAGAAUCGCAUCCAAUUGCCCAAUUAGGCAGCCUCCCCAGAACCGGUGAUAUCUAUUGUCUUCUUUAGUGUGGUUUGCAGAAUUUUAAUAUCAGCAUUUUCACCGCUUAAGACCCCCUCUGACUUAUUCAUCGAGCAUGGAUCUGAAAUCUGGUUGUACUGUCUUCAGUUUACAAUAUUGCUGAUGUGUAAAAAGAUUCCAUGCAGAUAAAGAAGAACAACUCCAUCUGACUGGCUUCCCAAGGCUACAUCAUAAACAGCAGGAAAGACCACCUGCUACAUAAACUGUUUUACAUAUAAAAGCCCUUGAAGGCCCAAUCCCAAUUGAAUGACAGC